CCGCGGUAAUUCCAGCUCCAAUAGCGUAUAUUAAAGUUGUUGCAGUUAAAAAGCUCGUAGUUGGAUCUCGGGUCCGGGCUCGCGGUCCACCUCGCGGUGGUUACUGCCCGUCCCGACCUACCUACCGGUUUUCCCUUGGUGCUCUUAACUGAGUGUCUCGGGUGGCCGGAACGUUUACUUUGAAAAAAUUAGAGUGUUCAAAGCAGGCGCUUCGCCUGAAUAAUGUUGCAUGGAAUAAUGGAAUAGGACCUCGGUUCUAUUUUGUUGGUUUUCGGAACUCGAGGUAAUGAUUAAGAGGGACAGACGGGGGCAUUCGUAUGAUGGUGUUAGAGGUGAAAUUCUUGGAUCGCCGUCAGACGAACUACUGCGAAAGCAUUUGCCAAGAAUGUUUUCAUUAAUCAAGAACGAAAGUCAGAGGUUCGAAGACGAUCAGAUACCGUCCUAGUUCUGACCAUAAACGAUGCCGACUAGCGAUCCGCCGGAGUUGUUUCAAUGACCCGGCGGGCAGCUUCCGGGAAACCAAAGUCUUUGGGUUCCGGGGGAAGUAUGGUUGCAAAGCUGAAACUUAGAGGAAUUGACGGAAGGGCACCACCAGGAGUGGAGCCUGCGGCUUAAUUUGACUCAACACGGGAAAGCUUACCCGGCCCGGACACCGUAAGGAUUGACAGAUUGAGAGCUCUUUCUUGAUUCGGUGGGUGGUGGUGCAUGGCCGUUCUUAGUUGGUGGAGCGAUUUGUCUGGUUAAUUCCGAUAACGAACGAGACUCUAGCCUAUUAAAUAGUUCGCCGAUUUCGAUCUGUCGGCGUUAACUUCUUAGAGGGACAAGUGGCUUUUAGCCACGCGAGAUUGAGCAAUAACAGGUCUGUGA
rnacentral:rRNA from 1 species